AUGUUUUUGCCAAAUGGAGCCAAGUUCUUCACUGUGGGCCUGGCGGCUGUGACAUGGGCCAUCUGGCUGGCUCGCAAUAGAGCUACCUUUGAGAAGAAGUUGAUUAAAUCUCCGUUUGAGAUUGUGUUUUCGGCUUGUUCCUUUCUUUUGUAUUGGGCAGGAUUUCAGAAGCAGGGAGACGCGGAGGACCUACGCCAAGGCGCAGAGAUGAUCCGCUCGAGCACAACCAGGCUGAUGGCGAUGUGUGAGAAGGCCAGGAGUGUGAAGGAUGAGGAUGGAGAAGUGUUGGCUUGGUGA
rnacentral:rRNA from 1 species